ensembl:snRNA U2 U2 spliceosomal RNA
AUCGCUUCUCGGCCUUUUGGCUAAGAUCAAGUGAAGAAUUUUUAGUAACUUUACAAAGUAUGUAACUUACACCAAAAUCUAAUUUUAUAACAUUUCCAUUAACCCAAAAAGAAAACUUGUGCCUGUUUGCAGUCACUCCCCAUUCUUACUCGCAGGCAACCACUA